rnacentral:rRNA from 1 species
UGGGGAAUAUUGCACAAUGGGGGAAACCCUGAUGCAGCAACGCCGCGUGAGUGAAGAAGUAUUUCGGUAUGUAAAGCUCUAUCAGCAGGAAAGAAAAUGACGGUACCUGACUAAGAGGCCCCGGCUAACUACGUGCCAGCAGCCGCGGUAAAACGUAGGGUGCAAGCGUUGUCCGGAAUUACUGGGUGUAAAGGGAGCGCAGGCGGACCGGCAAGUUGGAAGUGAAAACCAUGGGCUCAACCCGUGAAUUGCUUUCAAAACUGCUGGCCUUGAGUAGUGCAGAGGUAGGUGGAAUUCCCGGUGUAGCGGUGGAAUGCGUAGAUAUCGGGAGGAACACCAGUGGCGAAGGCGACCUACUGGGCACCAACUGACGCUGAGGCUCGAAAGCAUGGGUAGCAAACAGGAUUAGAUAUCCUGGUAGUCCAUGCCGUAAACGAUGAUUACUAGGUGUUGGAGGAUUGACCCCUUCAGUGCCGCAGUUAACACAAUAAGUAAUCCACCUGGGGAGUACGACCGCAAGGUUGAAACUCAAAGGAAUUGACGGGGGCCCGCACAAGCAGUGGAGUAUGUGGUUUAAUUCGACGCAACGCGAAGAACCUUACCAAGUCUUGACAUCCCUUGACGAUGCUGGAAACAGUAUUUCUCUUCGGAGCAAGGAGACAGGUGGUGCAUGGUUGUCGUCAGCUCGUGUCGUGAGAUGUUGGGUUAAGUCCCGCAACGAGCGCAACCCUUAUGGUCAGUUACUACGCAAGAGGACUCUGGCCAGACUGCCGUUGACAAAACGGAGGAAGGUGGGGAUGACGUCAAAUCAUCAUGCCCUUUAUGACUUGGGCUACACACGUACUACAAUGGCGUUAAACAAAGAGAAGCAAGACCGCGAGGUGGAGCAAAACUCAGAAACAACGUCCCAGUUCGGACUGCAGGCUGCAACUCGCCUGCACGAAGUCGGAAUUGCUAGUAAUCGUGGAUCAGCAUGCCACGGUGAAUACGUUCCC